rnacentral:rRNA from 1 species
UACGUAGGGGGCUAGCGUUGUCCGGAUUUAUUGGGCGUAAAGAGCGUGUAGGCGGCCAGGUAGGUCUGGUGUGAAAACUCGAGGCUUAACCUUGAGAUGUCAUCGGAAACCAUUUGGCUAGAGUCCGGAAGAGGAAAGUGGAAUUCCGUGGUGUAGCGGUGAAAUACGCAGAUAUCAGGAAGAACACCAAUGGCGAAAGCAGCUUCUGGGACGGUACUGACG